AACCGGGACCUCCCCGCCAGGUCCUGUUGUUGCUGGAGAAGGGUAGCUGACAAACUCCAACUCAGCACAGUGUUUAUGUUGGUCAAAAAUAGGAAACUAUGUUCAGGCGCGGCGGAGGUGGGAGGAUCCCUUCAGGCCAGGCAGUCAAGAGCAGCCUGGGCAACAUGGCGCGACCCCAUCUCUGAAGUCCCACCUCAGCUUCCCAGCUACUUGAACUCCAAGGUUCAUGGCUCCAAUGAGCUAUGUUCCCACUACAUCACCCCAGCCUGCGAGACUGAGGUAAAACAAGAAAGAGAGAAGGAUA
rnacentral:lncRNA from 10 species